rnacentral:rRNA from 1 species
AAAAAAGGUAAGCUACUAAGAGCGAAUGGUGGAUGCCUUGACUGGUAAAGGCGAUGAAGGACGUACUAGACUGCGAUAAGCUACGGGGAGCUGUCAAGAAGCUUUGAUCCGUAGAUUUCCGAAUGGGGCAACCCAAUGUAUAGAGAUAUACAUUACCUAUAUAGGAGCGAACGAGGGGAAUUGAAACAUCUUAGUACCCUCAGGAAAAGAAAUCAAUAGAGAUUGCGUCAGUAGCGGCGAGCGAAAGCGCAAGAGGGCAAACCCAGUGCUUGCACUGGGGGUUGUAGGACUGCAAUGUGCAAGAGGUGAGUUUAGCAGAACAUUCUGGAAAGUAUAGCCAUAGAGGGUGAUAGUCCCGUAUGCGAAAAACAAACCUUAGCUAGCAGUAUCCUGAGUAGGGCGGGACACGAGAAAUCCUGUCUGAAGCUGGGUCGACCACGAUCCAACCCUAAAUACUAAUACCAGAUCGAUAGUGCACAAGUACCGUGAGGGAAAGGUGAAAAGAACUGAGGUGAUCAGAGUGAAAUAGAACCUGAAACCAUUUGCUUACAAUCAUUCAGAGCCCUAUGUAGCAAUACAGGGUGAUGGACUGCCUUUUGCAUAAUGAGCCUGCGAGUUGUGGUGUCUGGCAAGGUUAAGCAAACGUGAAGCCGUAGCGAAAGCGAGUCUGAAUAGGGCGCUUAGUCAGAUGCUGCAGACCCGAAACGAAGUGAUCUAUCCAUGAGCAAGUUGAAGCUAGUGUAAGAACUAGUGGAGGACUGAACCCAUAGGCGUUGAAAAGCCCCGGGAUGACUUGUGGAUAGGGGUGAAAGGCCAAUCAAACUUCGUGAUAGCUGGUUCUCUCCGAAAUAUAUUUAGGUAUAGCGUUGUGUCGUAAUAUAAGGGGGUAGAGCACUGAAUGGGCUAGGGCAUACACCAAUGUACCAAACCCUAUCAAACUCCGAAUACCUUAUAUGUAAUCACAGCAGUCAGGCGGCGAGUGAUAAAAUCCGUCGUCAAGAGGGAAACAACCCAGACUACCAGCUAAGGUCCCUAAAUCUUACUUAAGUGGAAAACGAUGUGAAGUUACUUAAACAACCAGGAGGUUGGCUUAGAAGCAGCCAUCCUUUAAAGAAAGCGUAAUAGCUCACUGGUCUAGUGAUUUUGCGCGGAAAAUAUAACGGGGCUAAAGUA